GGUGCAGUAAGUGUCAGAGCCCUACCGAAGGUUGGGAGACAGGGGGAGAAGGAGCAGCUUCAGAAGGCUGCUCCUCAUCACACUGAGUGACAGUAUGCAACUAAUAGGAUAUUGAAUGCCUGUGGUGUAGGUGGAGAAUGCUGUGAAGCAUGAUGGACCAAGCCCGAAAACCUAACCCAGCUUUUCUAUCAAAAUCAAUACAACAGGAGUGAAUAUUUCUUUAACCGUCACUGGCCAUUCUUCAGUUUGAUUUCACAGUGGUUAAAGGUGCAUGGUCACAAUACAUUCACAUUGGAACAAAGAACUACAACAGAAUCAAUCUGCAAAAGAAGACUUUGAUGGUUGUGGGGUAACAACAGUUCCUGAACCUGGUGGCGUGGGAUCUAAGGCUCCUAUACCUCCUUCCAUGAUGAGAGCAUGGCCUGGAUGCUUGGAGUCCUUGAUGGCUGGUGCUCCUUUCUUGUGGUAGUGCUCCUUGUAAAUGUGCUCAGUGGCGGGGAGUGCUCUUCUUGUGAGGGUUUGUAAAUGUUACAACACAUAAAUCUAAUCAUAAAAUGAUCAGUGAAUGAUGAUUUUGAUGAUAAAACAUCGAGUUUGGGGAACAGAAAAUGUUCAAAAAUGUUCAAAAGGGCAGGCAGUAUUCAGGAAUUCUUUCUUCACAGAUACCACCUGACCACCUGGGGAUUCCUUCUUCUUCAGCCCUUUCUCACUUGUCCCCACACAGUCCAUUUUACAUCAGAUGGUCACAGUGACCACGUCCUUGUGACCACAGGAAUCUCUCCACUUGAUUUUGUUAGAUCAAGUGAUCCUUCCAUUAGUACACAUGCUUGUGGAUUUUAGGGAAUUAUGUGCAUACAAUAAAUACAUACAUUAAAAUGAGAACCAGUCUUCAGGAGGUGAAAGCUGUUUCCAAACUAACUUCAACUGAUACAUUAAACUAAUCAUUGACAAUGGGGCACUCUGAUUCUGUCCCUGUGAAGCUACACAGGGGAGCAACCAAUCGGCAAGCGGCAGUGCAUAAAAAGAGAUACCUUUCAGUCAAGUCUGUGUUCACGAUUUAAAAACAGAGCUUGGAGCCAAUUUUCUCUGAGGUGGACAGUUCACGGCAGGGCUGUGCAAAAAGAGCUACUUUUAAUCAAGGGUUCAAUCAAGAUUUCAAAGGCAGAGUUCUCCAAGUUGAAGAGUGAGAGGGAUUCAUUAGAAAGGGCCAGUAAGAAUAACUCAAGAGCAAGCAAAGCAGCCAGUCUAUUGAGUGUGCCACUGUUUAGAGUGGCUUUGGUCUAUCUAGUUUGAGUGAACUACAUUGUCUUGUAGUAUACUCUCUCUCUCUCUCUCUCUCUCUCCCUCCCUCCCUCCCUCCCUCCCUCUCUCUCUCCUUAUUUGUUCAUUUCUCAAAUGUUGGGACAUAGAAGAUUAGUGAGAAUGGCUCCAGGGCCAGUAUUUUGUACUCUCUGUGUGAUGUGGAAAAUCUAGGGGACCUCCAGUCUCCCACAUAGACACAGCUGCACCAGGUGCACUGAGUUGCAGCUUCUGAGAGAACGUAUUAAGAAAUUGGAGCUGCAACUCGAUGUCCUUCAACUCAUAUGGGAGAAUGAAGAGUGAUAGACAGGACCUCCAGGUUAGUAAUCUCUGGAUUGAUGCCUGUGCCAUAUGCAUCAAUCAUGUGGUUGAGGAACUGGUGCAGGAGGCAGCGGUUCAGAUUUAUGGAUCUUUGGGAUCUCUUUUGAGGAAGGUAUGAUCCAUAUAAAGGGAUUGGGUUACAUCCUGGAGGGAAAGAAAAAAUGGAGGGUUAUGGGGUAGUGUGGGUUUAGUACUUUUUUUUUAGGAUUAUAUGGGUUGGCACAACAUGGAGGGCUGAAGUGCCAUAGUGUUCUAUGGUUCUAUGGUUCCAUCCUUGUGGACAGAUUGGAUAGAGUUGUUCACGUGGGUUUAAACUAAUUUGGCAUGAAGAUGGGACUGCCAAAGAAGAAGUAAUUGGUUUACAAAUAUAUGCAACCUGUAGUGAGCUCCUAUCAAGGAGAGGCUGUUAAGAGGGCAAAAUUGCAGUCAAUAGGAUGAGUUGCAACAUAAAAUGUGGACAAAAUUGAAAAGGGUGAAUACAGGACUGAAGGUGUUAUAUUUUAAUGCAUGCUGUAUACAGAAUAAGGGAGAUGAACUUGUAGCCCAAUUACGGAUUGGCAUGUAUGAAGUUAUAGGCAUCACUGAAUCAUGGCUGAAAGAAGAUUAUAGCCUGGAGCUUAACGUCCAAGGAUAUACAUUCUACCGAAAGGACAGGAGGGAAGGCAGAGGGGGGUGUUCAUUGCUCUGUUGGUAAAAAAUGAAAUCAAAUCAUUAGAAAGAGGUGACAUGGGGUUGGAAAGUGUUGAAUCACUGUGAAUAGAGCUAAUGAACUGCAAAGGUAAAAAGACCCUGAUGAGAGUUAUAUACCGACCCCCAAACAAAAGUAAGAAUGUGGUCUACAAAUUACACUGGGAGAUAGAAAAUGCAUGCCAAAAGGGCAAUGUUACAAUAUUCAUGGGGGAUUUCAAUAUGCAGGUAGAUUGAGAAAGUUAGGUUGGUGCUGGAUUCCAAGAGGGGAUUUUCUAAAAUGUCUAUGAGAUGGCUUUUUAGAGCAGCUCAGAGUUGAGCCUUUGAGGAGAUCGGCUACUCUGGAAUGGGCAUUGUGCAAUGAACCAGAAUUGAUUAGAGAGCUUAAAGUAAAAGAACCCCUUAGGGGGAAGUGAUCAUAAUAUGAUUGAAAUCACCCUGAAUUUUGAGUAGGCAAAGCUGAAGUCAGAUGUAUCAGUUAUGUCAGAUAUUACAGAGGCAUGAGAGCAAAGUUGACCAGAAUUGAUUGGAAAAGAACACAGGCAGGGAUGAUGACAGAGCAGCAAUGCUGGAAGUUCUGGAAGCAAUUCAGAAGGCACAGGAUACAUAUAUCCAAAGAAUGUUCCAAAUGAUGACAUAAACAUGGCAAACAAGAGAAGUCAAAGCCAACAUAAAAGUCAAAGGAGGGCAUCUAAUAGAGCAAACAUUAGUAGGAAGUAGAGGAUUGGGAAUCUUUCAAGUACCAACAGAAGGCAACUAAAACAUCAUUAUGAAAGUAAAGAUGGAAUAUAAUAGUAAGCUAGCCAAUACUAUUAAAGAGGAUACCAAAAGCUCCUUCAGAUACAUAGAGCAUAAAAGAGAGGUGAGAGUGGAUAUCAGAAUGCUAGAAACAAUGCUGGAGAGGUAGUAAUGGGGGACAACAAAAUGGCAGACGAAUUGAAUAAAUAUUUUGCAUCUGUCGUCACUGUGGAAGAAACUUGUGAAGAAAUUUCCACCACAAUUUCUUCAUGGUGGAAAUUCCAGGUGCCAGAGGUCAUGAAGUGUAUGAAGUUACCAUAGCUAGACUGAAGGCUCUGGGAGACUGAAAGAUCUGAAGGUAGAUAAGUCACUUGGACCAUAUGGUGUGCACCCCAGAGUUCUGAAAGAAGGGUAGCUGAAGAUAUUGUGGAAGCUUUAGUAAAGAAUGGUUCUGGAAGACUGCAAAAUUAUAAAUGUCACUCCACUCAUUGAGAAGGGAGAGAGGCAGAAGAAAAGAAACUAUAUUGACACACAGUUAAUCUGACAGUAGCGGUUGGGAAGAUACUGGAAUUGAUUAUUAAGGGUAAGGUCUCAGGCUACUUGGAGGCACAUGAUAAAAUAGACAGAAGUCAGCAUGGUUUUCUUAAGGGAAAGUCUUGUCUGACAAAUAUUUUGGAAUUCUUUGAAGAAAUAAUAAGCAGGACAGACAAAGGAGAAUUAGUUGAUGUUGUGUACUUAGAUUUUCGGGCCUUUGACAAGGUGCCACACAUGAGACUGCUUAACGAGCUUCGAGCCCAUGGUAUUCCAAGAAAGGUCAUAGCAUGGAUAAAGCAGUAGCUGAUCAGCAGGAGGCAAAGUGUUGGAAUAAAGGGAGACUUUUCUGGUUGGCUGCCGAGGCCAAGUGGUGUUCCACAGGGGUCUUUUUUUGGGACACUUCCUUUUACAUUAUAUGUAAAUGAAUUGGAUGAUGGAAUCCAAAUAUGAGGAAAUCUGCAGAUGCUGGAAAUUCAAGCAACUCACUCAAAAUGCUGGUGGAACACAGCAGGCCAGGC